ensembl:lncRNA
CAGAAAUGUGUUCGUAAGACAUAAGUUUGUCUUAUAAGCUUAAGUACCAUGACUUUAUUACACAAGAACAGACAAGCAUUUUAAUGAUAUUGCAAUACAAUAUUGGCAAUCUUCCACAUUCUAACCAAGUGUCAUGAAAUAGAUCUAAGCUUUGUCAGUGGGGAACAAUGCCAUAAACAUGGGCCUGCACUCCAUCCUAGAACACUUGAAAAUGCAGAACCGAAUGUAAUAGCUUAAAAGCAUAGGCUUAACUAACUAUGUUGAGGAAGGGAAUGGGAGUGUUAUCCCUUCCUUCUAGCCACAACCAAAGCCCUGAAGGAUGCAUUUCCUGCACUAACAAUUGUCCAGGCGUCAUUACAUACAUACUGAUAAGUCAUUACACACAUACUGAUACAUCACUGUGAAAUAUGCAUUGCAAACAAUGUAAUCCGGACCCAAAAGCAUUCCAUACUGUUGCAUUUUAGCUCUGCAUUUCAAAGACUAGUAAACAUGACCAUCAUUUGAGUUGGAUUUCCUAACUCCGUGAACAGUUCAGCCGAUGUGGCUGUAUUUUCCCAUUGCCUUGUUUGAUUUACAGGGUUAGGGGUUAGCUGUACUAUACGCAGCUACUGAUGAUUUUACCCAGGAUAUCCUCAACUAACCUUUCUUGUCCUUGGCCAGAUUCAUUACCCAGUCUAGUGGGUGGCAGUCUGUGUCUCUAACCCCUACACUAUUUAACAAUGGGGGAGUCAGUCACUCACUCAGUCAGAGACAUUCACUCUUCAUGGCCGGCACCGCUUACACGUUCCUGCAGAAAUGUGUUCGUAAGACAUAAGUUUGUCUUAUAAGCUUAAGUACCAUGACUUUAUUACACAAGAACAGACAAGCAUUUUAAUGAUAUUGCAAUACAAUAUUGGCAAUCUUCCACAUUCUAACCAAGUGUCAUGAAAUAGAUCUAAGCUUUGUCAGUGGGGAACAAUGCCAUAAACAUGGGCCUGCACUCCAUCCUAGAACACUUGAAAAUGCAGAACCGAAUGUAAUAGCUUAAAAGCAUAGGCUUAACUAACUAUGUUGAGGAAGGGAAUGGGAGUGUUAUCCCUUCCUUCUAGCCACAACCAAAGCCCUGAAGGAUGCAUUUCCUGCACUAACAAUUGUCCAGGCGUCAUUACAUACAUACUGAUAAGUCAUUACACACAUACUGAUACAUCACUGUGAAAUAUGCAAAACAUGUGUCUAAUGGCUACUCGGCAUCAAAACAGUCAUUUCUACCCUGCGGGCUGGCUGAACUGGGCCUGCUUAGUUUUUAUUUCAGGUUUCUUUCAAUGUUUAGAUUCAGUUUUUCCAUUUUCUUUGAGUCUGUCCCCUACAAGCAGGGCCGGCUCCAGGCAUAAGUGACAUAUGCAGUUGCUUAGGGCCCCCGACCACUAGGAUGCCCCCGACUGCUAGGGAGCCCCCGACUGAUUGAGGAGAGGGGGACCCAAAUUAAAUUUUGCUCAGGACCCCCACAAAGAAGCUAGAGCCGGCAAUGCCUACAAGCCUACUGGUACAGUGUUGGGAAUCUAACCCUAGUAGCCCAUCUUCUAACCUCUCUAUACAUUGACCAGGCUAUAUAUGUAUCCCAGCUUUUUUGGUCUUUGCAAGUAGAUAAUUGUAUGCUUGUAACCUGGACACGGCAUGUUAUUCUCUCUGGGGCAGCUGACUGUUUAGACAUAAUGGUGGGUCUGGGGAAUCCAAAAUACUUUGCUAUUGUUCAUGCUCCAAAACAGGUAUACACAGAUAAGCCAGAACCUGACCACCUGCCUAAUAUGCUGUUCGUCCUGCUUGUGCCACCAAAACAGCACCAACCCUCAAAGGCAUGGACUCUACAUUACCACUGAAGUUGUCCUGUGGUACAGUAUCUGGCGCUAAGACAUUAGCAGCAGAUCCUUCAAGUCCUGUAAGUUGUGAGGUGGAGCUGCCGUGGAUUGGACUUGCUGGUCCAGCACAUCCCCCAGAUGUUCAAUUGGAUUGAACUGUCCAUCAUGUUCCUGAAACCAUUCCUGAACAGUGUGUGCAGUUUGGCAGGGUGCAUUAUCCUGCUGAAAGAGGCCACCGCGGCUCUGCAACCCCAUACGCAUCAGGGUGCGAUGCACUGUGUGUUGUGACACAUUCCUCCCAUAACCACCAUUAAUAUGUGACUUGGGCCACGGUUCGGACCAGACGGGAUAGCCUCUGUUGCCCUUGCACAUUGAUGAUUCUUGGGCACCCAAUACCCUGUCGCUGGUUUCUGGCUUGUCCCUCCUCGGACCAGUGUCGGUGGGUACUCACCACUGCAGACCGGGGGAACCACACAAUCCAUGCCAUUUCAGAGAUGCUCUGACGCAGUUGUCUGGCCUUAACAAUUUGGCCCUUGUCAAAGUCGCUCCUCCUGCCUGUUAGUCUUUUCUCCUGCCCGUUUUUCCUGCAUUUAACACGUUGACUACACUGCAAAACAUUUCUUUAAAAAAUAGGAAAACUUAAACUUAACUAUGUCUGAGGAGAUAAAUGACUGAAAUAAUCUGCCAAUGGAACAAAGCAAAUUGAUAUCCAAGGCAUAUUUUCUAAUACCAAGCAAUAUUAUCUAACACAACUUCAGCUUGUUCAAAAACAUUUACCUUAUUUUAAGGAUGGUUAGAUUUUUUUAACCCGACAACAAGAUAAAUAUAUUUCUUAAGACAUUUUUUUUUGCAGUGUACGAGAAUUGAUUGAUCACUUGCCAUCUAAUCUACCAAGACCUUGACAUGUGCCCUUGUUAGGAGAUGAUCAAUGUCAUUUGCUUCACCUGUGAGUGCUCGUAAUGUUUUGGCUCAUCAGCGUAUAACGCUCGCCCUUUCCUUUACACUCAGUGACUGACUAAACAAGUGGGACUAAUGACUCCCUUCUAUAGAGUAGCACUUAUGAAACAGACCGUGCCCCAUAUGUAACAUGUAUGUGUAUUCCACCACUACUCACCCGCCGCAAUAUGUGCUGUGUUUAUAUGCGCUGUGUGAGUGUAUGCAUUCUGUUUAUAGCACCACCACUUAUGAUCUAGAGCUAUGCAGUCUGUGUGUGUGUGUUUGUAUGAACAUCUGUGACAGUACAGUAUAUACCAGAAUAUAGGUGGGGUUGAAUGUUGGGGUUGGGGGGGCAUUCACAUCACUUAAACAUAGAUCUCCAAUAUAACAGACAUGUCUUUCCUAUACAACGUGUCACACUCCCUGCAUGUAUGAGGCUGGAGCCAUCCAUUAUCUCUGCGCAGAAAUGGGCUAAAAUCAUAUUUUCACUGGGCUUGACUGAACUUGCCGUCAUGGAACUAGUGGAAUAAUCACAAGUGUCGACCCCAUCCAUCUAAAGCAGAUUUUAAACACAUUCCUAAACUAUUGUAAAUAUAUCAAAUACUAUUUAAAACCAGGUCUGUACAAAAUAGCAAGCCCCUGCUUUGGAGAGCAGGGCGAUAUGAUGCAUUAACCAGGGUUAGCCUUUGCAGCUGGAGUAUAAAACAGGUGUUAGCUGCCAGUGUGCGUGUGCGUGUGUGUGUGUGCGUUUGUGUGCGUGUGUGUGCGCGUUUGUGUGCGUGUGGGUGGCUGUGCGUAAUUCAGCUCUGUGUGUUCAUGUGGAAAAGAUACUAAAAGAUAGUAAAAACUGAACAAUUACUUACCACAAAGAUUAUUUUUGGCAGGUAUGUGAUUUCUGGCUCAGGGCUUAGGUUUCAGGAAAAACAUGCAAUUGAGCAUAGUGUUAACACUGGGUUUGAUUUGAGGUUUAUGCAUCACUGGUUAUGUUCAAGUGAUAGGGAGCUAUGUUAGGUUUAGUUCAAGGUUAGGAUAAGGGUUCAUUUUAGGACUAGGAACCAUGAAUAUCUGGUCAGGUUUUGGUCUUAGGUCCCCACAAGGAUAGAAAGAAAAAGCUGUGUGUGUGCGUGUGUCUCUUUUUCUGUGUGUACGUUAUACUACAUUGGUCGGGACCAUACACCCCAGCAAGGAUUGCAAAACAAGAAAAAUGCUACCUCAUGUUGAAAGUCCCCCUGAGAACAAAGAAUAUUUUCAGCUUAGGUUAGAAUUGGGGUUAGAGUUAGAAUUAGGGUUUAGUGGUUAGCGAGAAUCUGAUUUUUGAAUUGGAAUAACUGUUGGGUUACCCAUAAGGAUAGUAAAGCCUAAAAUAUGUGUGUGUGUGAGUGUGUGUGUGUAAUGUGGGUCCCAGUGGAGAAGAGUCUAUCGAUGUCAGCUUAAUCAGUCAGCCACAACCUAAGCAAAACGUCAAGUAGACGGAGGGUUCAGGCAAUCUCCCUCACAGUGGCUGGUUACGGGAUUGGAUGUAUGGAAGAGAAAUGGACAUACUCUUGACUUGCUUUUAGCCGUGUGUAUGCACACGCUGACCUAGGCACCUGCUCAGUGUUAGGUUAGGUGUGACCAAGUGUGCAUCCUCUACACAUCACAGUGCACUACUUAAGGCUAUUAGCCUUACAGGGCUCUGGUCAAAAGUAGUGAACUAUAAAGGGAGUAGGAUGCCCUUUGGGAUGUAACCCAUGUGUCAAAAUAUACAGGGGUUGCAGCCUGGCUGUAAGUAGUUGAGCUUUACAGCCUGCUGCAGGCCUAUGCAUGGUUUUUAUUGUGCUUACAUUGGGGAUCUGUAAGACGUGGUGUAGGCUAGCUGAGCGAAUUACACUCUUAGUAAUGUAAUGCUAACGUCAUAUGGUACGCUAACUCACUAUCUCUGCCCCCUCUCCUCUGUUGCUGCCACAAAGAUAGGCUAAUCCAUCCACACUGGUGGCUAUUAUGACAUUCCUGUGUUCAGUGUUGAAUGAAGAGCGACCACAAGAACAUGGGUAAAGGGCAGCGUGGGUCGUGAGAAUGGACUAAUCUUAUCUUAUUGCCUCUCACUUCACUUUUUUAAGAGAAUAAUCUUCUCCACUGCCAUCUCCCCUUUUACGACCAUGACAUGAUAUGCACACCUCUCUUUAUCCCCUAUGUCUCUCUCUCUUCCUUUCACGCUGCCUCUCUUUUCCCAACCAUAGUCUCUUAUCUACUUUCUUUCUUAAAAUCUAUCAUCACUCUCUCUCGUUCCCUCUCUCUCCCAUCCCUCUCAGCUAUAUAGAGUUCCUUUUCCACAGCUCCAUUCAGUGGGUUCCUCCAGUCUAAAGGAUCUGUCUUCUUGGCACAGAUGCCCUGUCUCUGCUCCAAAUCAAGCCCUAUUUCCUUUGCAGUGCACUACAUUUAACUAGAGCCCAUAUGGGUUCUUGACAAAAGUACUGAACUACAUAGGGAAUAGGGUGUCAUUUGGGAUACUAGCCCUGACUGAACUCCGGAGGUGACAUCAUCGCCCAGCACCAUGUGACCUGCUGUGGGCAAACCUUCCCAUGCUGGUUCACACCAGGAUUACAGUUCAACUCUCUCUCUCACCAUCUCUCUUUCUCACACCCUCUCUCCAUCUCCAGAUCUCUUCUAGAGAGACAAGUCCUAGUUCAACCUAAUUUCUUUAUGGUUAUAUUACUGUUCCUGUAAACACAGAGCUAUAAUGUAGACUAUUGAAUAGUUCACCUUUCCGUGUGCACGUGUGUUUGUGUGUGUGUGUGUGUGUGUGUGUGUGUGUGCGUGUGUGUGUACAUGUGGAUCACAUGAGAUUAAGGCCUAUAUUAGAAAGUUUGUCCAGGUGGGGAAAACUCUCCACUAGGGGUGUGGGUUUCAAUGGACUGCCCACUAAGCGGUUAAGGUACAAUUCUGGAGACAAUGGUUUAAGGUCUAAAUCCUCUUAGUGAGGGCUCUGGCUGCAUUCCAUAUCCCCUAUAUAUUGACCAGCUGGUCAAAGGUAGUGCACUAAAUUAGGAAUAGUAUGACACUUGGGAUGCCUCUUGUGUAUGUACCAAGAACUGAGACGAGGCAUUCUGAUCCUGUUUAUUUUCCAGGCGUAAAGCUAGCAGGUUUCAGGAACUGAGAGCUCUGGUCAGAGGGCUGUGCUGUUGGAGGAUAGAGGUGCUCUGGUCAGAGGGCUGUGCUGUGGGAGGAUAGAGGUGCUCUGGUCAGAGGGCUGUGCUGUGGGAGGAUAGAGGUGCUCUGGUCAGAGGGCUGUCCUGUGGGAGGAUAGAGGUGCUCUGGUCAGAGGGCUGUGCUGUGGGAGGAUAGAGGUGCUCUGGUCAGAGGGCUGUGCUGUGGGAGGAUAGAGGUGCUCUGGUCAGAGGGCUGUCCUGUGGGAGGAUAGAGGUGCUCUGGUCAGAGGGCUGUGCUGUGGGAGGAUAGAGGUGCUCUGGUCAGAGGGCGGUGCUGUGGGAGGAUAGAGGUGCUCUGGUCAGAGGGCUGUGCUGUGGGAGGAUAUAGGUGCUCGGGUCAGAGGGCUGUGCUGUGGGAGGAUAUAGGUGCUCGGGUCAGAGGGCUGUGCUGUGGGAGGAUAGAGGUGCUCUGCAGCGUGGCAGAGUCAUGGUGUACCAUGUUGAACUGUGACCUUUGCACUAGAGGCGUCCCGGCCUUGUGGUCUCUGUGGCACUUGGUUGGUUGUUAUUUAUGUCAGGACGGGAAUGGGAAACUGAUCCUCUUAACAGGCUGGAAUUGGCCCGUAUUCAGGAAGGUGUCACUGUCACAAUCGUACCUGGGGUUGGGAACCUGCAGAGAGAGAGAGAGAGAGGGAGGCGUGGGGGGCGGGAGAGAGAAAUGCCUGAACUUAAUAUGGCUUUGUUGUUUUGAAAAAUUACAGUACUCUGUGUAUUAUUGAAUUUUAGAGUAGGAGAUGGAUACAAGCAGAUUAGCAGGUAGGGUUUCAGAAUAGGACAAUAAAUUAAGAUACUAUAGCGGACUGCACAGUACAAUGCUUUACUACAGUAUCUAAUGGACUGGAUUGGUUUUUCAGCCCUCAGUGACGGGAACCAUUUAGAUUCAUGUAUGAUAACCAAUCAUAUUUAGUCCCUGGGUGCUGCUGGUUAGUCCUUGUUCUGCUGUAGCAAACUGGACUGACCAAUAAUCAUGGGUCUCCCAAAUGACAAACUAUUCCCUUCAUUAUGUGCUACUUUUGACACCCAGAGAGAACAGGUACAUCCCAACAAACCUCUCUGCUCCAGCCUUGUUCUCUCCACUCCUUCUCUGUCCAUCUCUACAUGCCCACAACUAAACCAGUAUUCUUAACUAAUCCACAGUCAGUUUCAAAAUUGUUGUCUGAAGAUUUUUUGGAACCUCCUCUCCCUCUUGCUCCCUCUCUACUCUCUUGCUUCCAGAUGUUUCUAUAACCACGUGUUAACUAUAAAAAGAGAAGCAGCCAGGCCAAGAUAACACUCAUUCAAUUGAUUUAUCGGAAGCAAAUACUAUCACUCUGUUUUAUUUUAAAGAGGAGUCCUCCAUUUCCCCAAAACCAAUCAAUAACGAAUGGUUCGUUUUAUUGGGCAUGUACAAUGAAUGUGUAAUAAAUCUCAGUUGAAGUUGACACAACAUUGACAAAACGUCUGUAAAAUAGAGAAUGGCUCGUAUUACAAUGUCAUUGUAAUGCAGUACCAGCCUGUAUCCGCACCAUAAAACCCACAUGAAUCCACAUCAGAGACAAUAUGGUUUACUGCAUCUAUACAAGAUGGUGUUCAACCCUGGGAAUUCAGAUACUGUCCAGGGAAACGUAACACACGGUACAUCACCAACUUAUUUUCCUAGAAAGCAAAAGAACAUACGAAGAAGAAAAGAACACACAGCAAAACGUUGUAAAAAAACUGUAAAAAUAAAACCCACAAAUAGAGAGUGGUUUAGAGCUAAAGUAACGAAAGGAAGGAAGGCUUGGACGCAUUCGCGACUUCCUGUUUGACGUCCCGCACUGCAACCCCAGGGCUGCUCGGUGCCGUCGUUGUGGCGCAGCACCUCGUGAGGAGGGAGUGCUAGAGUGCACCGCCCUCUAUGAAAUCUUAUAUCACCCCUGAAAAUACCCCUCUGGUAUCCCUGCGGCGGGGUUCAACUCCCGCAGUAAUGUGUCCAUGGUCUUCUAACUUAGGUCCAUACCAACUAACCCAUGUAGAACCCAAGUUACCAGACCAUCAGAGAGAAAUGUGGUCCCAGCACCAUGCGGCUAGACCAAGAGUUAAAUCUGUCUCUGCUGUGGCUGGGACCAGAACAGACCCCUGUAGUGCUACUUAUUAGGUUGACGUGAUGUGGAGUCACUAAGUCACUGAGUCAGAGCUGGAUCGGGCCGGGUCCCUGACAUGAUUGACGGUGUCUGUCUGUUCUGUCAGCACCCCCGCUGAGUUAGGGAGCUGCACAUGAUUUUCCUCAAAACCGAUUUCCCUCAAAACCAAACAGCUGGCAGCAGAUGCGAAUGGCUUGUGUGGGAGGAUUAUUUACGUGUUUCCCCAUAAAGCGAGGUCAGCGGCGGAUGCCAGAAUCACAUCUCAGUUAUUACCAUGGUGGGUUGGUCACCACGAGCCAAGAAAGCCAUGACUUGCGAUAAACACAAAAGUAAUUACAAUUUAAGGAGGCCUCUGUGUUGUUCCAAGCAACAAACGCACGAUACAGGCGGUGUGAAACGACAGCAUUUGGGUUCCACGUCAAUCUGUGUGUCUCCAGAGUUCAAUGUGUAUAUGCACCUGCAUGUGUCUUUGCAUAGCGUGUGUGCAUCCGGAGGAGUUUGGGUCGUAACUGUCCUCCUCACCUUGUCCGCGUUUAUGUUCUAUGGAAAACUUUCAGGUUGCAUCCCAAACGGCAGCCUAUUCCCUCUUGAAGACGUGAAGAGACUCUCUCUCAGUGCUUUCAUGACAUAGCAAAAUACACUUCUGGGUCAAAGAGUUCAAAGCUGAGAGCAAGCCAACUAACCCUGUCGCAAUGCCAAACAUCACAGGCUGUAAAACUGGAUAAAGGAUCUCCUUUCAUCUGAGCCGCAUUGGGCUUUCUUUACACGUAUAAAAAAAAAUAUCUCAGUUUACUAUAGUAUUCUGUAGUAAACUAUAAUUGCUAAAACAGCUGGUCAAACUAGCAAAAUGUGACAGAAUAUCACCAUUUGCGUCACAACGAAAUUUCAUUAACAUUUAUGUUCAUCACUCACCAUGUUAGGCCGUCAGAUGCUCCCCAAAAUAUGUCUUUGCAAAAACAAAUCAAUGAUAGUUAACUUGCUAACUCUUUCAUCAUUGGAACUGCAUUCACAGUAUCCAAUUUUGGUUUUUGUGUGGUAGUUGGUCAACAUUUCUGUAUAUUUGCACCAAGUAGAUUCUGUGCAUGAAAAUGUCCAAUAACUGUUCUAGCUAAUUGGAAAAUGAACUGCCAUUUUAGAAUACACUUUGGACGAAUUAAUGAAAGCUCCUCCACAAUUCUGUGGUACAACACAUCAUGGUAUUGUUCAAUCGUGUGAUGUACUUAAAUUACAGAAUUGUGCAGAAUACUUUAUAAUAUUAUAUUACACACUGCAGUAUCCCUUCAUCAUGUAGUGCUAGAACAUAGUAGUAUAUUGGAGAAUACUAUACUACAAACUGUGUUGAGGUAUAGGAUUUCCUGUGCAUUUGUCUCACCCCUCCUCCCCCAGUCUUUAUGACUAGACACUGUAAAGAGGGGUAGAAAGUUGCAACCAGGCUGGUAGCAAGGGGGAGCAAAACAGUUGAAAUUUCAGUGCAUUCAGUUUUACGUCCCAGUAUAAAAACAGAGAAGUUCAAAUCAUUUUUGGUGUAAAAUAUGUCAGCACAAUGGAAGAAGCCUUUGGAUUUGCGUAGUAUGGCAAAACAAAUGCUGCAUCUUUAACCAUAGUCUGUAAUAUUAGAUUUUUUAGGGCAGAAUCUAGUGAUGAAGCUGCUUCACUAAACUCAGUCUUACGUGCCUCCACAAAAGAGGUUACAUCCUAGCUUUCACUGUUAAACAUUAAUAAUAGUCAUCGGCCAUAGCCAAUUAUCCCGAACCAGCUAAUUUCUCACCACAAAAAUAGAUAUCAGAAAUUGGCAUUGCCGAAGUACCUUCAGUAUACAAAGGAGUAGGUGGGCAAGCAGUUGCAGCAGCGUUUAAACCGCUGAGGCAGAGCCCCGCCACAGCGAUAAGGCUGCCUUGUUCCAGCUAGCUCCGUAUGGAUUCUAUCUCCUGUUCCACAAGCGCAGCCAGGAGAAUGGCUCCACAGCUCCCCCAACCUCAGACUGUUCCCGGUGAUCUUAAAACAGAGGCACUAGCCUAAGUUAGCCUAGAUUUCUAUCUCAUAGCAGUCGGUUCAAAGCGCUUCUAUUGCUUCAUUGAUCACAUGAGAGUCAGAUCCACAGAUAUAUAUGGUUCCGUAUCAUAAUGUUGCUGAAUCUUCUGAGGGUCUGAUCUUCCACAUUUGAAGCAGGACUAUGGAUUGAAAUAGCAUGAUUCAUAAUCCCUGAAAAACCUUUCGGCACAACUGGAAGAGCAUCUCUUUGCAUGGUUGCACCCGUCAAUACUUCCAUGGGGGACAUGUAGAGUGGAAUUUCAAUACCUUCGGUUCAGUGUAGGCUUACCCCACCUCAGUGUUUUGAUGGCUAUGGAAAUACCUAUAGGACAAGUGGACUUCCAUCAAUGUUUGCUUAAUAUUAGCAGAGCUGUUCUGCCUGAAUGAAACACAGACUAUAUUUGAAGCCAUUCCAAAAUCAAUAUCACAUUUUAGAGUUUUUGGGGGAUGAUAAGGCAUUCAUUAUUAAGGUGAUAAGCCUGGUAUUUGGUAAGACUGUUGUCCAUGGCUGCAUCUCACUUCUUCAGGCCAUUACAUAGUGGUUAUUUGGAUGUUACUGUUUCGUUUGUUUAGUGUUAACCUAGCCUUUAGUCUCCUUUUGCAUAUUUGUGGCCUUUUUGUCUGCUUGAAUGAGUCUGGUCAUUCUCCUCUGACCUCUCUCACUAACAACUGCCCACACAACUGCAGCUAUUUGGAUGUUUGUUGUUUAUCACCCAAUUUUCUUUAAAGUAAAGCAAUUGCAGUGAGUGAAAAUCCCAGGAGGUCAGCCAUUUGUAAGAUGCUUGAACAACUACGUCUGGCACCAACAAUCACACAACGGUCAAAGACGCUUAGAUUCCUUUCCAAAAAAGUUCUCUUAAUUUUAACCCUUCUUUUCCACACUGAAAACCUACCUUUUCGACUUUUUUGGAAAGGAAAGAAAAAGAUGCUGUGGUCUCUUAAUUUUUUGUAUGUUGAGUUGCAGCCCCAUGAUUUGCUGUUUGGCUAUUGGUGUUAACACACAAUAGUACAUAAUAAAGUGACUGGUGAGACUAGCUGUGGUAUAAUUGUACUGUUCUGUUUUGUUAUUUUCUAAAUUAUUCUUCAGCAUCUAAACUGCUAUUCAGAAUUUCUGUCUGUGUGAAUUUACCCCACUUUCAGUGUUUUGUUCAAUUGUUCUGGUAAGCCAACUCUGCCUAUAGCUGCAUUAACAUUGUUUGAAAUUAGUAAAUGACUCUUUGUUUGCUGUCCUUGGUGUGUUGUUAUGAUGGGGCUACACAUUUCAGGACACAUUUUCACCUCAAAUGUAUUCAGUGGUCUCAGCAUUUGAACUUCAGUAGAGUGACAAUAAGCAGAAUUCAAUGCAAUUCCAAUGCUAGAACUGAAAAUAAUGUGACCCCAUGCUGAUUUGAACUGCCCUCUCCGUUCAUCCAGCAGCCAUGCCUGGUUGCAGCCCUGAACUGACACUUACAAGUCUCAAGUUUCUUUCUCACAAAACAGCAGAAGAGCUGAACUUUUAACCCUUCAGUCCAUACAGUAGUCCUGUUUUCUAACAGGUUUUGGAACACAUGUUCUUUUAGGAUUGCUUUUCCAGACUCAGAUUAAAAAUAACCCCUACUGAGAUUUUCCACUGAGCCUGAUCUUUUGACAGGGCUAGACUGAAUCUGAAGUCAGGUGUCUGCGUUGCCUUCAGAACAACCUGAAUGUUUUGUUUUCUGGAUUCUACAAGGUUGGGAAAUGCUCCACAGGGAUGCUGAUACACAUCACUGACAUGACCGUGUUACACCGUUGCUGGAAGUUGGACGUCAGAAUAUUCAUAAAAGCUCUAUUUGCUUUAAGUCUGGUGACUGCGCAGGCUAUUGAAGUUAACUGAACUUGUUGUCAUGUUCCUGAAACCUUCUGAAGCAACACAAACAUUGUGACAUGUGCCACAUAUUCUCAAUGUAUCCACGUGGCACUGGGUAAACUGUGGCCAUGAAGGGUUUCACCAAGUCAGACAAACCGGCACUAAAAUGUUGCUCAAUUUGUAUCAAGGGACCUACAAUAUGCCAAGAAAACAUUCCCCACACAUUACACCAUCACCAGUACCGAUGACACCAGGCAAAAUGGAUCCGUGGUCUCAUGCUGCUAACGCCAAAUCCUGAAUCACCAACAGGAACUGGGAUUCAUCAAACCAAAGCAAUGCUUUUCCAAUCCUCAACUUUCAAGUGUAUGCGAUCACCUCCCUACUACAUCUGCUUCUUCUGCUGUUAGCCGAUAGGAGUGGACCUGGUGUGGUUGUCUGUUGCAGUAGCCCAUCAGCACCAAAGAACAUUCACGUCCUGGCAUGGCAGGUUGCCAGCUACUAGUGAGAUGCAAUGCCCUCUCUUCCUCACUUGGAUCAUGGACACCACUUUUGCUGUUUAUUGCCCUAACCUAUUUCCCUAAUUGCUGUCCCUAUUUAAGUUUCUCUUUUCCUAGUGUGUCUUGUCGGUCUUUGUUUUGGUUUCAUCCAUUUGUAAUGUUGUUCUUCCUCUGGGAUUUUGUAUUUGUUUGGUACAUUUGCGUUACUUUAUUAAAGGUCUUCCGUUCUCCCGGCACGUGUCCUGCUUCAUCGUUCAACGUUGCAGGCCCAGUGAGUUAAGGUUAGUUUCAGCUAUGUCAUUCAUCUGCGCAUCACUGUUUACCUGUGCAGUUAUUAUUAAUAUUACUGAGCCUGUUUGUGGCCACAAUCCACGCCAUUCUCUUUCGACCUCUGCAACACUAAUAGCACACAUGCUUGAGCUAGCUAGCAUAACUGGAUAUGUUUUGAAGGAGAGGGGUUUUGCGUCUGUAUAGGUAAAAGUUCGAUCUUAUUCCAGUUAGUUCUGUAUCCAGACAUGGUACCAAACAAAUUAAUCAAGUAGAACAGGAAUAUUAGAGUGGGGUUUAGGUACAUAAAGGUUAUUGUUAUAUACUUAAAGAGACGUUUAGUGUUUUUAGUAUUUUAGCCAUGUGUUGCUACAUGAGAUCUUAUGGCUUGAGCUAGCAGCAUGAUGGCCAGAGAUAGACAAAGAGGUGAAAGUGUAAAACUCUGCCUCAUCCAUCAAUGGAGUUUAAAUUGCUGUGACAGUGAUUGAUUGAUAGAUUGGUGAGUAUUUGAGUGCAAUAAUUAUGGUAUAGAAGUUGGAUCCAUAUUAUAAAUCUGCCUGCAAUCUUACAUCAUUGUAGGACAACAAAUAAGCAUUUAUUCAUGCUAGGGCGGACAUGUGCGAAUCUCUUAAAAGCAUAAACCCUCGCAAGGCUCCUGUUCUGGACAAUAUCCCUGGCCUCAAGGUACGUGCUGACCAACUGGCUGAUAGUCCCCAAGUUUCAAGGAGACCACCACUGUCCCUGUCCCCCAAGAAAAGUACUCUGCCCAAACAUCUCCUGCCCUAGAGCACUAACAUCCCUAGUCAUGACGCGCUUCAGCGGUAAGUCUAAGGACAUAUCACCACCUCCCUACCCUCAUCUUUAGAUCCACUACAAUUUUCUUGGAGACCAAACUUGCCCUCCACUCUGCCGCCUCUCAUCUGGACCGAAGGAAUACAUAUGUGAGAAUGCUGUUUGUUGGUCGUAGUUCAGCAUUCAACUCAAUUGUGCCCCACAAGCUCGUGGUGAAGCUCAGGGAUCUGGGCCUCCACACCGGCCAGUGUCCGCGGACCUCAGGUCGUUCGGAUGGGCAGCUCCACCUAAUCCACACUGACUCUCAGCAUGGGCGUCCCACAAGGCUGUGUGCUCAGUCCCCUCCGGUACUCCCUGUUCAAGCAUGACUCCGGGCCCCCGCACUCCUCUGACAUCACUGAGAAGUUCGCAGACGACACCACUGUCAUUGGCCUGAUCUCCGAUACUGAUGAGACUGCCUAAAGAGAGGCAAUCAGAAUCUUGUCAUCAUUGUGUCAGGAUGACGACCUCCAGCUUAACGUCAGCAGAACGAAGGAGCUGAUUGUGGACUACAGGACAGGAGGAAACGGGGGAAGCCAUGCCCCUAUCCACAUCAAUAGGCCUGCAGAGGAGAGAGUCUGCAGCAUCAGGGUCCUCCGGGUCAGAGUCAGCGACAUUCUGUCCUGGUCUCUCUAUUCCAACAUCGUUAUCAAGGAGGCAAGGAAACGUCUCUUCUUCCUAAGCCGACUAAAGAGGUGGACUCCACGAGGAGUGGACUCCAGGAUACUCACCAACAUCUACAGGUGCAUCACUGAGAGUAUCCUGACGGGCUGUAUCUCCACCUCCACAGUAUCCUGACUGGCUGUAUCACCGCCUCCACAGUAUCCUGACAGGCUGUAUCACCGCCUCCACAGUAUCCUGACUGGCUGUAUCACUGCCUACACAGUAUCCUGACUGGCUGUAUCACAGCCUCGUAUGGCAGCUGCACUGUCCUUGACCAAAUGGCUCCAUAGAGGGUGGUCAAGAUGAUUCACCUGGAGGGACCGGCCAUCUCUGCAGGACUUGUAUAGGUAUACACACAGGUGCAGGAAGAAGGCCCUACGCUUCAUCAGGGACCCAUGUCAUCAGGGACCCAUGUCAUCAGGGACCCAUGUCAUCAGGGACGGAUGUCAUUAGGGACCCAUGUCAUCAGAGACCCAUGUCAUCAGGGACGGAUGUCAUUAGAGACCCAUGUCAUCAGGGACCCAUGUCAUCAUGGACCCAUGUCAUUAGUGACCCAUGUCAUUAGGGACUCAUGUCAUCAGGGACCCAUGUCAUUAGGGACACAUGUCAUCAGGGACCCAUGUCAUUAGGGACCCAUGUCAUCAGGGACCCAUGUCAUCAGGGACCCAUGUCACCCCAACAUGAACUUUCUCCCUGUUUUGCUCUGGCAGGAGAUACAGGACCAUCCUGUCCACAACCAACAGGUCCCAGGAAAGCUUCUUCCCCCAGGCCUUAAGACUGUUGAAUCUUUGAACACAUUUAAUAAUGUACUAUUGCAAUAGAGGAAAUAACAUUACCAGAUGAAUGCUGGAACCUACCUAACGCUGCUUAGAAGAGUGACACAAUGAACACUUAUCAAUUUUAUUAUGUACUAAAUUUCUUCUUCUAUAUUGUUCUUAUUCUAUUUUUUAUUCUAUUAUAUUACUUAUGCCAGAAAUGUUGAGGGUGUUUUUGGAAAACAAGCAUUUCAUUAACAACAAUGCUGUUGCUAUUGUGUAGUGACAAAUAUACUUGAAUUUAUACACUCUGUGUAGACUACAUUUAGGUUAUCAAUUAUAAGAUCUGUAGCAGCAUUUCUCUUUCCUGGGGGCACCAAAGGCUUGCUUAGUAGUUUGCAUUUCACUGAUAUUCUGUUGAUGCUAAUUUGAUAUAAAAUCCUUUAGGUACCGUAUUUCUCUUGUGUUCUGGCUCUGCCUAUUUGGCCUUGCAUUAGGGAGGGAAUGAGUAAGUAAGGGAGUGAGUGAGGGAAUGAAUGAAUGAGUAAGUGCAUAUGUGACUGCAUAAUUGGAUAAGUAAGUUAAUUAGUAAGUGAUUGAGUAAGUGAAUAAAUUAGCAGGUGAGUGAGUAAAUGAAUGAGUUAAAGGUUGUUGGAAAUAUAAAAAUUGGUGUAAGCAUUGCGAUGAUGUCUCAUGCAGCUUGACAUUAAGUUUUUUCAGUUUAUUGAAAAAAUACAUUCCCUUUUUCUACCUUCAGGCAAUGCUCAAACCCUACAUACAUUUUCUAGCUUUUAGUUCCCAUUUGGUCUUUUGGCUGAACCACCCAACAGGGGGUCAGAUCUGCCAUUCAAUAGCCCUUUGCAGCCCAGAAGUGUAGCUGUCCCCAUACAGUGCCUUGUUGCAACUUACACAAUAAAUGUAUGUUGCUAAUACUAAACAUUGAUUUACUCUAAUCUUUUUUCUGUUCAUUACAUGGAAUGUUAAACGAGGACGUGUAACUGCAUUCUAGCAAUCUUUGUAAUAAAGCAAAUUCAUCGUGGUCAAUAUUUGUUUUUUAAAAGGAAAUUAUUUACAAUUAACUCAGAACUUUCACUUUUACUUUGUUACACAAACAGUUUUCACUUUGCCUUGAGUAAAUUGUCAUUAAAUUAAUAGUAUUUCCAUACUCUUUCCAUUUCUGGAAGUAUGUGGGUCUGUCCAAAAUAGGGCACUGCUUAUCCCUGGAGUUAAAUGGUGCCCUUUCAGGCUCUAUUCAAAAGUAAUGCACUCUGUUGAAAGGAACAAGGUGCCAAUUCUAUGUGCUGACAGGAGGACGAUGUACAAAAUCAAACACUCUGAGUUGAAAGUAAGAAGGAAACUAGAUACAUCUCCAUUGGCAGCAUUACUCUCCACAAACCUCAAAUGAUAAAUGUGUUAUGCAUGUGUCAUUGAGGGCGUAGUGACCUGAGGAACAGUGGAGCAGAGGAAGAGACAGGGAUAAGAAACACUGUGACUAUGUCUUAAAUGGCACCCUAUUUCCUAGGUAAUGCGCUAAUUAAGAGUUGGAGCUAACUGUACCAGUCAAAAGUUUAGACACACCACUCUAAUGAGGGGUAACUAUGUCGAAACGUUUGACUAGUACUGGAUAUGGUCCCUGGUCAAAUGCUGUUCACUAUACAUGGAAUAGGGUACCAUUUGGGAAACAUCCUUAACCCUGUAUUUUGUUUUAUUAUGUUUCCAAUUAUUGAUACGAUCAGAGCCAGAGAUAGAAUACUGCUGCUUCGUGAGAAUGGUCUACAGAGGAAUGCUGAGAAUGACAUUAAUUAUUUAUUUAAAAUGUUGAUGACAGGAUUAAACGCCUUCAGAUGAGAAACAGAGAGAGAUAGAAAUCUAGUUUUCUAGGAAUUCAUGCCAGCAGGGCUGAUGGAGAGACAGAGAGACAGAGAGACUGAGACGGAGACUUAGAAACUGAGAUAGAGACAGAUACAUGUGAACUGAGAAAGACGAAGAAAGACAGAGACAGAGAGAUACUGAAACAGAUGGAGAGGAGUGAAACUGACCAACAAAGACACUGACAGAAACUGACCAAGACAAAAGGACUGACAGAGACUGAAAAAGACAGAGAGACUGACAGAGACUGAACAAGACAUAGAGACUGACAGAGACUGACCAAGACAAAGAUGCCAGUAUAUAGGGAAUAGGGUGUUACAAUGUAGGGAGUAGGUUGUCACUAUAUAGGGUGUUACAAUGUAGGGAGUAGGUUGUCACUAUAUAGGGAGUUACAAUAUAGGGAGUAGGUUGUCACUAUAUAGGGAGUUACAAUGUAGGGAGUAGGUUGUCACUAUAUAGGGAGUAGGGUGUCAGUAUAUAGGGGGUAGCAUGCCAGUAAAUAGGGAGUAGGGUGUCAGUAUAUAGGGAGUAGGGUAUUAGUAUAUAGGUAGUAGGGUGCCACUGUAUAGGGAGUAACAUGCCAGUAAAUAGGGCGUAGGGUGUCACUAUAUAGGGCGUAGGGUGUCACUAUAUAGGGAGUAGGGUGUUAUUAUAUAGGGAGUAGGGUGUCACUAUAUAGGGCGUAGGGUGUCACUAUAUAGGGAGUAGGGUGUUACUAUAUAGGGCGUAGGGUGUCACUAUAUAGGGAGUAGGGUGUCACUAUAUAGGGUGUAGGGUGUCACUAUAUAGGGAGUAGGGUGUUACUAUAUAGGGAGUAGGGUGUUACUAUAUAGGGAGUAGGGUGUCACUGUAUAGGGCGUAGGGUGUCACUAUAUAGGGAGUAGGGUGUCACUAUAUAGGGCGUAGGGUGUCACUAUAUAGGGAGUAGGGUGUCACUAUAUAGGGAGUAGGGUGUUACUAUAUAGGGAGUAGGGUGUCACUAUAUAGGGAGUAGGGUGUCACUAUAUAGGGAGUAGGGUGUUACUAUAUAGGGCGUAGGGUGUCACUAUAUAGGGAGUAGGGUGUCACUGUAUAGGGCGUAGGGUGUCACUAUAUAGGGAGUAGGGUGUCACUAUAUAGGGAGUAGGGUGUCACUGUAUAGGGCGUAGGGUGUCACUAUAUAAGGAGGAGGGUGUCACUAUAUAAGGAGUAGGGUGUCACUGUAUAGGGCGUAGGGUGUCACUAUAUAAGGAGGAGGGUGCUACUAUAUAGGUAGUAGGGUGCUACUAUAUAGGUAGUAGGGUGCUACUAUAUAGGUAGUAGGGUGCUACUAUAUAGGUAGUAGGGUGCUACUAUAUAGGGUGCCAUUAUAUAGGGUGCCAGACUAGUAAUCCCAAGAGAAGCUAGACCAGGCAGCAUCUAAUCUAGAGACUGUAUAUGUAUCCACAGCUGCACAGACACUAACAAACAGGACACCCACCCAUGCAGUGUCUAGGAUAAGAACCCUUGGCACCUACAUGACAACGAGCUGGACCAUAUCACGUCACACAAAACAUUAAACACACCAGCCAACAGCAACAGCAACAUUUCUAAACUAGAGACUACCAUGGACACACUCUGCUAUGCCUUAGCACUAUGCACUAUAGACAGACAGACCGAUUGAACGUAAGGUUUACCUCUGUCUGAAAAUGUCAUGCACGCAAAAAAAAACUCAGACGAAAAGAAAACGAGAAGAAUAUGCCAAGUAAUAAGAAAACUAAUCUUAGCAGCAGACAUUUUCUUGCUAUUCUGGGGGUGUUUCCUUACGCUGUGCUUGUUUUUCAUAAUGCAGUUUCAACACUUUUUCUGCUUCUCUGGUGGAAAUCACACAAUGGUCAAUACUGAUUGCUUUAUUUUUUCAGUGUUGUACCCCCUCUCGCGUUUGUUAUUGCAGAACAGGAGGGUAUGCAGGACCUGGGAUGGGGGGUUCGGACUGUGGGUGCUGCUGAAACGGCACAAUCUCUCCAUUUCUGUCUAAUAAUGUGAAAACAUGUUAAGGGUUUGUGUGUGUCUGCGUGUGUGUGUUUGUGUGUGUACCAGCUCACCAGACCUGUCCCAGGUAUGUGGACGGUGAGUGGACCCCCAGUACAGAUUCAGACACACAGGUAUGCUGCGCUGUCUGCCACUUCCUGUGGUGUAUCUGUGCAUUGGUGUGUGAUGACGUGCUGAGAGGGCUGGCGGCAUAGACACGGAACACUGGAGAUACCUUCUGUGUUCCAGAACUCAGCAGGAUCCACAACCCAGUAAAACAAUACCUCUGUGGCCUAGCCACUCAAGGCUCUCUCUCUCUCUCUCUCUCUCAUUUUCUUUAUCUUACACGCACGCACGCACACACACACACACACACAGACACACACGCGCACAUCCACACAUAUAUAAACAAAUAACUGUGUUUAAGUGCGUUGAGGAAUGAAUCCACCUACACACCUGCCCAAAAGAAUGUAGGCUUGGGCAGUGUCUUUCCAGUGUGGGGGGCACCUCCCAUGGAGCACUGUGCCGCGGAGCCAUGGGGAAGUGGCUAUUCCUGUGGUGUAGGGGUUAGGGUUCUGUCCCAAAGAGCACCCUAUUCUUAUUAUAGGGCCCUUUUUUGGCCAGAGGGUGUUGGGCAGGGUUAAGGGUAUAAUGUAUACAAGGUUGCUAUUUAGGAGGUACCAGGGAUAUGGAGUAAAGGAGCCGUUGGUUAAACUGGCCAUCAGGAAAACCACUGGCACAGCACUCUGAGCCAAAUGGAACUAAUUCUGACCAUAUCGUGCUGCAUAUGGGAAAACCUCUAAGCCCUAGUGUUCCAGCCCGGAUUAAGCAUGGUCCUGGACUUCAAAAGCACUUUCAAUGGAGAAUCUUAAUUUAGCAUACUUAUAAACCCAGGACUGAAGCUAUAUGAAUGGUAUUGAAACUGGUCAUAUGUGGCUCCUAAAAUUCAGAUAUAAAGAUAAUUUUUAAUACAUCAAAUAUAAUAAGAAUAUGGGACAGGUCUACCUG